rnacentral:rRNA from 1 species
UACAGAGACUGCAAGCGUUAUUCGGAUUCACUGGGCGUAAAGGGUGCGCAGGCGGCCAAGUGUGUGAGGCGUGAAAGCCCGGGGCUUAACUCCGGAAUUGCACCUCAAACUACAUGGCUAGAGCAUUGGAGAGGGUAGCAGAAUUCACGGUGUAGCAGUGAAAUGCGUAGAGAUCGGGAGGAACACCUGUGGCGAAGGCGGCCGGCUGGGGGUGCCCUGACGCUGAGGCGCGAAAGCGUGGGGAGCGAACCGG